rnacentral:tRNA from 2 species
CGGGGCGUAGCGCAGCUCGGUAGCGCGCCUGCUUUGGGAGCAGGAUGUCGCAUGUUCAAAUCAUGUCGCCCCGACCA